GUGACAGCCGCCGCGGUAAUACAGAGGGUGCGAGCGUUGUCCGGAAUUACUGGGCGUAAAGGGCGCGUAGGCGGCCUGAUAAGUAGGGGGUGAAAUUCCGUGGCUCAACCACGGAACUGCCUUCUAAACUGCCAGGCUUGAGCACGGUAGAGGCAGAUGGAAUUCCCGGUGUAGCGGUGGAAUGCGUAGGGAUCGGGAAGAACACCAGUGGCGAAGGCGGUCUGCUGGGCCGUUGCUGACGCUGAUGCGCGACAGCGUGGGGAGCAAACAGGAUUAGAAACCCUCGUAGUCC
rnacentral:rRNA from 1 species